rnacentral:tRNA from 1 species
AAGAAAUUAGUUAAAUUAUAACAUUAGAAUGUCAAACUAAAAUUAUUAAAUAUUUAAUAUUUCUUA